CUUCCCAUUUGACUACCAUCUAUUUGCUCUACAAAAUAGGUGGCUAUGCUUAUGGGAUAAAAAAAAGACUGCCAAAGUCUGAAGGAGAAGAAUAAUACUGUCUUCUUCCUACAUGAAAUGGCAGAACAUGUUAGA